CUUUUAAAUAGGUUCAUUUGAACAUAAAGCUGCUUCCAUCACAGAUUUUUUUUUUUUUUUUUAGUACCGUGCCAUAUUGGCAUCUUCUGCCUUUCUCAACACAGACAUACAUAAUUUAGUGUAGUAUCAAUAUUUUCCCCAUUCAUUAUUUUCCUAUUUUCAGAAAUCAAAACAUUACUUCAAUUGCAAUUUGUUCUCACCAUAUUCUGAUUAGAAAAAAUCCUUUCCUUUUAAAAAGGUUGUUCGAACUCAUUGACAUGAAUCAUCGUGCAAUGUCAUAUUACUUUUCCUUCAUUCGUCACCCUGUCAAAUCUGUAGGUAACACCAUCUGAAAACAAAAACAUUC
rnacentral:lncRNA from 1 species